rnacentral:piRNA from 1 species
UGUUUUAGUGAUGCCCACAGUUAAGAGA